GACGAACGCUGGCGGCGUGCUUAACACAUGCAAGUCGAACGGAAAGGCCCUGCGUUUGUGGGGUGCUCGAGUGGCGAACGGGUGAGUAACACGUGAGUAACCUGCCCUUGACUUUGGGAUAACUUCAGGAAACUGGGGCUAAUACCGGAUAGGAGCUCCUGCUGCAUGGUGGGGGUUGGAAAGUUUCGGUGGCAUGGGAUGGACUCGCGGAGCAUCAGCUUGUUGGUUAGGUAGUGGAUUACCAAGGCUUUGACGGGUAGCCGGGCUGAGAGGGUGACCUGCCUGAUCGGGACUAAACUACGGCCACGACUCGUACGCAGGGAAAGCGGGAGGAAUAUUGCACGAUGGACCGACGCCUAAUGCAGCCACCCCGCGUGCGGGAUGACAGCCUUCGGGUUGUAAACCGCUUUCGCCUGUGACGAAGAGUGAGUGACGGUAAUGGGUAAAGAAGCACCGGCUAACUACGUG
rnacentral:rRNA from 1 species